AGAUUGAAGGUUCGCCUCAGUGUUCUCAUGCUGGCGGGUGAUGUCGGCAAUCAUCGACUCUUUGAUUAAAACCCGGGCACGUUGACCAGCUAAUUCCAACUCUGCAGCCCCCAACUCCCCGUUGACUUUGGAGAGUUCCUGCUCCUUAUCUCUCAAGAGAUUCUUUUGAGCAGCCCAGUCCUCAGCCAACUUCUUGUUGGUGGCAGACAAAGUAGA
rnacentral:lncRNA from 1 species